GUAUCAUCAAAUGAUUCAGCAAUCAUGAAGAUUUUCCACUACUUAGUAUUUUUCGUCGUAAUGCUGACUAUUGGGUACAAUACAGGAGUAAAUGCUGAAGGACCAGUUAAAAAACGUUCUCCUGAAGAACCAUGUGUAUUUAUGGGUUGCUUAGAUGACUGAAAAAUUAAAGUUAUUAAAAUUAACAUACAUUAAAAAAUGUAAUUGUUAGAAAAAAAUAAUUUGAUGUAAUAAAUUAUCAAACA